rnacentral:ribozyme from 1 species
UAGAAAAAAGAAAGAAAGGAAAAACUGGUUUCAAGACUCAGUUUUCCUGACUGUUUUUUCAAAUUGGUUUUGAAGGCCCCAUAUUCCACACACUUUUACUUAUCGAAGCUGAUACGUAAUGCUAACUGCUUCUGGCAAGCGUGACCAAAACGCAAGCUUCACAGAGAAGAAAA